UUCCACCCGUGUUUCUCUCUCUCUCUCUCUGUUCUCUAGUGUGUUGGCCAACAUAGACCCUCUGUCUGUCUGUCUCUCUCUCUCACCUUUCCUUGUGCCAUCAGCCUUCAGAGGACAUGGGUGGGGUGCUCAGUGUGCAUCCCCACAGGCUAGGUCUUGGGAGCCAUGGAGAAGGAAGAGCAGAGAAAAAUCAUGAGGGGCAGUGGGUGCUGAAGUGGAGCAGUGACUGUUUACUCAUCUCUGUUAAUUGAGUUGGCCUCAGGUGGAUGGCAUGGGAGAGGAAGGAAGGGAUGAGGGCAAGAUUUCAUGCAUGAAUAGAACUUGUACUGAUGGCUCAUGCAUGGAUUUUGCAGGUGCACUUGCAGAGGAAGUGUCCAGGAGCCCCAGGCCAGGGAGAAGCUGGCAGAAGUGGACCUGAUCAGCCUGAGCAUCCUUCUAAGCAGACAUGAACAGUCCUCUCCUUUCUGAAUCCCGCUUAACUUGCUGUGGUACCAGAAGAAAAGAAAUCCUGCACGAGAGUCUACUGCUGUCAUGCAAUGGAAAUCGAGCGAGAGCGAUGGGACUGCAGGAAAUUAUUGCUGCCAUGAAAAAGCCAUUCAACUGGGAGUGAAACAACUGCCACUUUCAGUGUUCCUGCAGAGGAAUUGUCCAGGAGCCCCAGCCGGAGGAGAGACUGGCAGAAAUGGAUCUGAGCAGCCCGGACAUCCUUCUAAGUAGACAUGAACAGUCCUCAGAUUUCUGAAUUCUGAAUAACUGGCUGUGAGUCAGAGUACCAAGGAAAAAGAAGACGCAUGUCAGUCUGCUGCCCUCAUGCGAUGGACAGUGAUGAAGAGUGAUGAGACCUUGAGAAUUACUCGAUGGCACAAAAAAGCCGUCCAUCUGGGAGUGGAACAGACACCACUGUCUCUGAGAUAAGUGUUUUGCUGAGGGUUCUUCUCAAGGCCCACCUGGCUCCAGAUAAAGAUGCCCUGUUAGCUGGGCCUGGGUUUGUGUUUUUAAAAAAAAAUAAUUCCUGAACAGCUGUGGUUACAAGGGAGACGAAGUCCCCCUUUUUGGGGCUGGUCAUUUCUCUGUUCACAAGCAGUGUGUCCUCCGCAGCAGAAGGUUGGAUCCAGGGAGAUGGCUCCAGCUGGUGAGUUUCUUGCUUUCCUCCCAUGUUUCUCUUGCUGUCUGUCUCUUCUCUAGUGUGUUGGCCAACAUUCUCUCUUUCUCUCUCUGUCUCUGUUCUUGCCUCUCCUUGUGCCUUCUCCCUUCAUAGGACACGGGGAGCUGUGCUAGGUGUGCAUCCCCACAGGCUAGGUCUCGAGAGCUAUGAACAAGUAGGAGGGGACGAAAAUCAUGCGGGGCAGUGGGUGCGAGAGUGGAGGCAGGUACUGGAAGAUGUCGUGCACCUAGACUGUUUUUGGCAGUGAUGGCUCUUCCAUAGGUGAUUAGCUGUUCUUGCGGAGGGCUGCUCCAGGCCAGCGGAGCAGCCCCAGACAGAGUAGGAGCAUCUGGAGGAAGCAGACAUACCCAAUCUAGUUGUUUUGCUUUGCAGUGGAGCCAAGGAGCGAUCUUGUAAUGUUGGAGGAGCAGUUCCUACUGAGAUUGGUCUCUGCCACAGGUUGGCCAGUCUCUCAUCAGACCAAAGAAGUAGUGGCCACCCUGAGCCCAUCCCUAGUGAUGAAAGCUGGACAGUAAUCUGCAGAGUAAGAGCAAAUGGAAAUUUUCUGAAGUUCAGUAUUGAGGGAGGGCUGCAAACACUCUUCUCAGUGGAGAGAAUUUGUGAGUAUGGGGAGGGCCCCUGAGGAAAGGCCUCUGCAUCUCACGGGGACACAAUAAGCUCAGGGGAAUCCUUUGUGCCCUGUCAAGGGGUUGUCAGGUGCUAUGGAGUCUUCCUGAAAUGCAGUAACCCUUUGUGGAGAGCCAGGAAGGUGACUACAGGUGCUGAGUUUGACUCCUUCCUGUGUGUGUAUCUCUGCUCUCAUAUGUUGGCCAACAUGCUCUCUGUGUGUCUGCCUCUCCUUGUACUGUCUCCUUGCAUAUAACAUGGGCAAUGGUUCAUGCUCGCUGGCUUGGUCUGGAGAGUCUGUAUCCCACUGGGGCAUUGGGAGGAGGAAGAGAAGCAUGAUGGGUUUUAGAUCCUCCAUUAGUAGUGGUGUGGGGUGACUGUGGGAGUUGACUCUGAC